rnacentral:rRNA from 1 species
AAAUGCGAUAAGUAAUGUGAAUUGCAGAAUUCAGUGAAUCAUCGAAUCUUUGAACGCACAUUGCGCCCCUUGGUAUUCCGGGGGGCAUGCCUGUUCGAGCGUCAUUACAACCCUCAAGCUCUGCUUGGAAUUGGGCACCGUCCUCACUGCGGACGCGCCUCAAAGACCUCGGCGGUGGCUGUUCAGCCCUCAAGCGUAGUAGAAUACACCUCGCUUUGGAGCGGUUGGCGUCGCCCGCCGGACGAACCUUCUGAACUUUUCUCAAGGUUGACCUCGGAUCAGGUAGGGAUACCCGCUGAACUUAAGCAUAUCAAUAAGCGGAGGAAAAGAAACCAACAGGGAUUGCCUUAGUAACGGCGAGUGAAGCGGCAGCAGCUCAAAUUUGAAAGCUGGCCCUUUUAGGGUCCGCAUUGUAAUUUGUAGAGGAUGAUUCGGCGAGGGCUCCUGCCUAAGUCCCCUGGAACGGGGCGUCAUAGAGGGUGAGAAUCCCGUAUGCGGUAGGUUGCCUUAGCCAUGUGAAUCUCCUUCGACGAGUCGAGUUGUUUG